GAUGAAGAACGCAGCGAAAUGCGAUAAGUAAUGCGAAUUGCAGAAUUCCAGUGAGUCAUCGAAUCUUUGAACGCACAUUGCGCCCUUUGGUAUUCCGAAGGGCAUGCCUGUUCGAGCGUCAUUUCAACCAUCAAGCCCCCGGCUUGUGUUGGGGACCUGCGGCUGCCGCAGGCCCUGAAAACCAGUGGCGGGCUCGCUAGUCACUCCGAGCGUAGUAAUACAUCUCGCUCAGGGCGUGCUGCGGGUUCCGGCCGUUAAAAAAGCCUUAUUUACCCAAGGUUGACCUCGGAUCAGGUAGGAAGACCCGCUGAACUUAAGCAUAUCAAUAAGCGGAGGA
rnacentral:misc_RNA from 1 species